rnacentral:rRNA from 1 species
GACGAACGCUGGCGGCGUGCUUAACACAUGCAAGUCGAACGGUAAGGCCCUUCGGGGUACACGAGUGGCGAACGGGUGAGUAACACGUGGGUGAUCUGCCCUGCACUUCGGGAUAAGCCUGGGAAACUGGGUCUAAUACCGGAUAGGACCCUGGGAUGCAUGUCCUGGGGUGGAAAGCUUUUGCGGUGUGGGAUGGGCCCGCGGCCUAUCAGCUUGUUGGUGGGGUGAUGGCCUACCAAGGCGACGACGGGUAGCCGGUCUGAGAGGGUGACCGGCCACACUGGGACUGAGAUACGGCCCAGACUCCCACGGGAGGCAGCAGUGGGGAAUAUUGCACAAUGGGCGCAAGCCUGAUGCAGCGACGCCGCGUGAGGGAUGACGGCCUUCGGGUUGUAAACCUCUUUCAGCACCGACGAAGCGCAAGUGACGGUAGGUGCAGAAGAAGGACCGGCCAACUACGUGCCAGCAGCCGCCGUAA